AAUAGAUACCCUGGUAGUCCACGCCGUAAACGAUGAGUGCUAAGUGUUAGAGGGUUUCCGCCCUUUAGUGCUGAAGUUAACGCAUUAAGCACUCCGCCUGGGGAGUACGGCCGCAAGGCUGAAACUCAAAGGAAUUGACGGGGGCCCGCACAAGCGGUGGAGCAUGUGGUUUAAUUCGAAGCAACGCGAAGAACCUUACCAGGUCUUGACAUCCUCUGACAACCCUAGAGAUAGGGCUUCUCCUUCGGGAGCAGAGUGACAGGUGGUGCAUGGUUGUCGUCAGCUCGUGUCGUGAGAUGUUGGGUUAAGUCCCGCAACGAGCGCAACCCUUGAUCUUAGUUGCCAUCAUUCAGUUGGGCACUCUAAGGUGACUGCCGGUGACAAACCGGAGGAAGUGGGGAUGACGUCAAAUCAUCAUGCCCCUUAUGACCUGGGCUACACACGUGCUACAAUGGACGGUACAAAGAGCUGCAAGACCGCGAGGUGAGCUAAUCUCAUAAAACCGGUUCUCAGUUCGGA
rnacentral:rRNA from 1 species